rnacentral:rRNA from 1 species
ACGGCGAGUGAAGCGGCAACAGCUCAAAUUUGAAAUCUGGCCCCUUCGGGGUCCGAGUUGUAAUUUGUAGAGGGUGCUUUGGUGUUGGCUGUGGUCCAAGUUCCCUGGAACAGGACGUCGCAGAGGGUGAGAACCCCGUACGUGGCCGCCAGCCUUCGCCGUGUAAAGCCCCUUCGAAGAGUCGAGUUGUUUGGGAAUGCAGCUCUAAAUGGGAGGUAAAUUCCUUCUAAAGCUAAAUAUUGGCCAGAGACCGAUAGCGCACAAGUAGAGUGAUCGAAAGAUGAAAAGCACUUUGGAAAGAGAGUGAAAAAGCACGUGAAAUUGUUGAAAGGGAAGCGCUUGGAGCCAGACAUGCCCGCAGUUGCUCAGCCGGGGUUUUCCCCGGUGCACUCUUCUGUGGGCAGGCCAGCAUCAGUCUGGGCGGUCGGAUAAAUGCCUGCUAAACGUACCUCCCCCCGGGGAGGACUUAUAGGGUAGGCGGCAUACGACCAGCUCGGACUGAGGACCGCGCAUCUGCUAGGAUGCUGGCGUAAUGGCUGUAAGCGGCCCGUCUUGAAACACGGACCAAGGAGUCUAAAAUCUAUGCGAGUGUUUGGGUGUCAAGCCCGAGCGCGCAAUGAAAGUGAACGCAGGUGGGAACCCUUCGGGGUGCACCAUCGACCGAUCCUGAUGUUUUCGGAAGGAUUUGAGUAUGAGCAUAGCUUUUGGGACCCGAAAGAUGGUGAACUAUGCCUGAAUAGGGUGAAGCCAGAGGAAACUCUGGUGGAGGCUCGCAGCGGUUCUGACGUGCAAAUCGAUCGUC